GACGAACGCUGGCGGCGUGCCUAAUACAUGCAAGUUGAGCGCUGAAGGUUGGUACUUGUACCGCCUGGAUGAGCAGCGAACGGGUGAGUAACGCGUGGGGAAUCUGCCUUUGAGCGGGGGACAACAUUUGGAAACGAAUGCUAAUACCGCAUAAAAACUUUAAACACAAGUUUUAAGUUUGAAAGAUGCAAUUGCAUCACUCAAAGAUGAUCCCGCGUUGUAUUAGCUAGUUGGUGAGGUAAAGGCUCACCAAGGCGAUGAUACAUAGCCGGACUGAGAGGGUGAACGGCCAAAAUGGGAACUGGAAACGGCCCAAACUUCCAAGGGAGGCAGCAGUAGGGGAUCCUCGGGAAUUGACGGAAGUCUGGCCGAGCAAAGCCGCGUGAGGGAAGAAGGUUUUCGGAUCGGAAAACUCGGUUGGUAGGGGAGAAAGUUGGUGGGAGUGGAAAGCUCAUCAAGUGACGGUAACUACUCAGAAAGGGACGGCUAACUACGUG
rnacentral:rRNA from 1 species